UACGUAGGCAGCGAGCGUUGUUCGGAGUUACUGGGCGUAAAGCGUGCGUAGGCGGUGUCUUAAGUUUGUUGUGAAAUCUCCCGGCUUAACCGGGAGGGUGCGGCGAAUACUGAGAUGCUGGAGUGCGGGAGAGGUAAGCGGGAUUCCCGGUGUAGCGGUGAAAUGCGUAGAUAUCGGGAGGAACACCUGCGGUGUAGACGGCUUACUGGACCGUAACUGACGCUGAGGCACGAAAGCGUGGGUAGCAAACAGG
rnacentral:rRNA from 1 species